GAUGAACGCUGGCGGCGUGCCUAAUACAUGCAAGUCGAGCGGACGGACGAGGAGCUUGCGGCUCUGACGUUAGCGGCGGACGGGUGAGUAACGCGUGGAUAACCUACCUAUAAGACUGGGAUAACUUCGGGAAACCGGCGCUAAUACCGGAGAAUAUUUUGAACCGCAUGGGUCAAAAGUGAAAGACGGUCGUGCUGUCACUUAUAGAGGGAUCCGGGCUGCAUUAGCUAGUAGGUAAGGUAACGGCUUACCAAGGCAACGAUGCAUAGCCGACCGGAGAGGGUGAUCGGCCACACUGGAACUGAGACACGGUCCAGACUCCUACGGGAGGCAGCAGUAGGGAAUCUUCCGCAGUGGGCGAAAGCAUGACGGAGCAACGCCGCGUGAGUGAUGAAGGUCUUCGGAUCGUAAAACUCUGUUAUUAGGGAAGAACAUAUGUGUAAGUAACUGUGCACAUCUUGAUGGUACCUAAUCAGAAAGCCACGGCUAACUACGUG
rnacentral:rRNA from 1 species